UCAACGCUGGCGGCGUGCCUAACACAUGCAAGUCGAACGAGAAAGUGAAGCUUGCUUCACGAGUAAAGUGGCAGACGGGUGAGUAACACGUGAACAACCUACCCUCGAGUGGGGAAUAACACCGCGAAAGCGGUGCUAAUACCGCAUAAUAUCUCUGGAUCGCAUGGUUUUGAGAUCAAAAGCGCAAGUUGCUUGAGGAGGGGUUCGCGCCUGAUUAGCUAGUUGGUGAGGUAACGGCUCACCAAGGCAACGAUCAGUAGCCGGCCUGAGAGGGUGAACGGCCACACUGGAACUGCGACACGGUCCAGACUCCUACGGGAGGCAGCAGUGGGGAAUUUUGCGCAAUGGGCGAAAGCCUGACGCAGCAACGCCGCGUGGAGGAUGAAGGCCUUCGGGUCGUAAACUCCUGUCAGUGGGGACGAAUGC
rnacentral:rRNA from 1 species